rnacentral:tRNA from 1 species
CCCGCCCUAGCUCAAAGGUAGAGCGGUCGGCUGUAGACCGAUUGGUUCCAGGUUCGAUUCCUGGGGGCGGGACCA